CCUUACUGCUAUCGGGAUAAGACUAAGCCAUGCGAGUUGUGCGCUCUCAAGCUAUGUUGAGAGAGCAGCAAACGGCUCAGUAACACGUAGUUAAUCUACCCUCAGGACAGGGAUACCCCCGGGAAACUGGGGAUAAUAUCUGAUAGGCGGAAGCGCCUGGAAUGGUUUUCCACUGAAAGGGUGUUAAAAACAUGCUUUUAGCACUGCCUGAGGAUGAGACUGCGGCCGAUCAGGUUGUUGGUGGGGUAACGGCCUACCAAGCCUAUAACCUGUACGGGCCCUGAGAGGGGGAGCCCGGAGAUGGGAACUGAGAAACGGUCCCAGGUCCUACGGGACGCAGCAGGCGCGAAACCUCCACAAUGCACGAAAGUGCGAUGGGGUUAUCCCGAGUGCUUUCCGAUGAGGAUGGCUUUUCCUCGGUGUAAAAAGGCGAGGGAAUUAAGGGGGGGCAAGACUGGUGUCAGCCGCCGCGGUAAUACCAGCUCCCUGAGUGGUAGGGAUGAUAUUUGGCCUAAAACGUUCGUAGCCGGCUUGGCAAGUCUUCCGUUAAAUCCAGCGACUCAAUCGUUGGUCUGCGGAAGAUACUACUAGGCUAGAGGACGGGAGAGGUUGACGGUAUUCCCAGUGUAGGGGUGAAAUCCAAUAAUCCUGGGAGGACCACCAGUGGCGAAGGCGGUCAACGAGAACGUGCCUGACGGUGAUGGACGAAAGCUGGGGGAGCGAACCGGAUUAGACACCCGGGUAGUCCCAGCCGUAAACGAUGCGGGCUAGGUGUUAGGGCAGCUACGAGCUGCUCUAGUGCCGCAGAGAAGUCGUUAAGCCCGCUGCCUGGGGAGUACGAUCGCAAGAUUGAAACUUAAAGGAAUUGGCGGGGGAGCACCACAAGGGGUGAAGCCUGCGGUUCA
rnacentral:rRNA from 1 species